AUCCUUGCAGGGUCUGAAUGGACAGAAUUGUGAUGAGACUUGACCUCCAGCUUGCUUUCUUUUAAUAUCAAGCUGCUGUUUGCAAAGGUUAUCAUGGGAGAAAAAGGGGUUGGCUUCCCUUGUGUCCUUAACCCCAAGACAAGAAGAUGGUGAGAAUUGGGGGAGAUCAGCAAGAUGAUACUGUCCUGCCCCACCUUUGACAGGUAUGAUGACUAUGAAUGUGAACCAGCCCAUCCACAGGGAUGUUUACUGACUGCACAUGAAUAAUCAGUGGGGAUCCAAUUUUACAGGAUCAAUGGUGGAGUUCUGCCUUUGUGUGCAUGAUGGCCCUGCUGUGAAGUACACUCAAGGAAUCACGGUUUCUAAAAUUCUAUAAAUCAUUAUUCCAGCCUGCUCCCUGCCCCCUCCAAAAUCAUUCAAUCUGUUGAAAUAUUUAGUGGUGGGCAUGUCAGCCUGGGUGCACAUGUUGUAAGCAAUUGGGAAGGGUGACUUAGGGUAGUAGGCAGGUGGAGGUGUCGCUGCUACCUCUCCUUCUGCCUUUCUGUGGCACAUGUACCCACUCCCUCUGAAUGGUCGUCAGAGCAGCCUUAUGGUCCCCUGAUCUCUGUGUAGCUGAGAGAGGUUGAGCCAUGUCAUGGCUCCUCUCAUGGGGCCCCAGAAGAGGAUGAGGCCAGCGUCAAGGCAGAUGUGAAUGUGUGCCUGGGGUAGGAUAUGGAUCAUGAGUUAAGGCAGAUGUGCACAGGAUGGGAAGAGACAUGGGAAGAUCAGCUGGGGAUGGUGGGGGGUGAAAUGGCAGAAGUCUCCAGCUCCUGGCAUCUAGGUGUGCUGUGACUGCUCUUGAUAAUCUGGGAGGGUAAUGGAGGGCUGGGGUGUAACUAUGACCUGUGGAUUGUAAACUGGGCAGGGGAGACUGGAAGUACUCAAUUUCUUUGGACUUGCUGCUUUGCUAGUGAGUGUUUGGGUUUGAUUCCUCAGCCCCUGGCUAGAAUUUUCUGCCCCUUAUCCCCUCCUCCUUUCAUAGCACACACCCUAACAGAAAACAGGGCCAACUGAGCAGCCGCAGACAAUGUCCCUCAAAGGCAAGCCCUGAUUGAUUUGCACUGGUUGAUCUGUUUAAUGUCCCCUCUCCCCAAGUGCCCAUCUUGCCUGCAGAGGUGCUACAUUUCCUUGCAGGCCCAGCUGCUGGCCGCUGACACCCUACGCCUGGAGGAUGCUUGGGAAGGUUACAGGUGCAACAAGCAAAAUGAAAAUCCAUAGUUUUUAAACCUUUAUGAAUUGAGAAUGUAAACCUGGAAAAUGGAUCUGGAGCUACUAAUGGACAAGCGGUCUGCCAAGCCCAUCCAUCCUCCAGCUCCCAGCUGGGGUCAUUCACAUUACACCUGCUUCUGAAAGCAGAAUCUCUGGUCUUUCCCUCCCCUCCUCCCAGCCAGGAAAACAGAGGCAGGCAAGGGAAAGAGACCCAAGGGGCUUACAGCUCUGCACGUCCAGGCAUGGAUCCAGAUCAAGCAUGGAAAGAUAAAAACAACCCUGACACAAAAGAAGAUUGCCUCGCAGCCAUCCAUGCACACUGGGCACAAGAGCUGUGACCAUGGAGCAGAAAGCAGCAUUCAGCCCUGGGGGUCGCCUCUGCUGCUAGCCAUCUGCACAAACUCAGUCCACUGCUUUCUCAAGACACAUGUUUUCUUCUCUACUGUGUCCAUGAGCCUCUCACUCCAGAAAGGACUUUCCAGGCCCCAUCCUUCAUCCCUGGACCCUUUCUGAGACCACUUGCACACAACUGAUGCUGAAAUGGAAGUUUUCUAAAGUCAGCAGAGGGCUUUUCCUGUAGACCAUGCUACAUUGCAGAAGUUCCCAAGGGGAUAAAUAGAAGUGGCAUUAAUUCCUUUGUUGAUCUGGAAUGUUAGAAAGCAACACAAAACAAAGGUAUACCACCUCUAUGUCAGUGUUCUUUCUCCCACUGUCCACGUACUGCUGACAUUGCUUAAUGAAGUCUAAGCUUUCCAGCCGCACAGCUUACCUAUACUGAACAUGGCUACAGACAACAACCAUGUUCUCAGGUCCAGCCCAGAGUCAAGAGAUGAGAGACUCAGAGUGUUGAUGCGGAUGAAAGCUACCUGAAUUGUAUUGCCUGGAUGGUCCCAGUCAAGCAUGAACAAGAGAGCAAGAAAAUGAAAAAAGAAAAAAACCACCAGAAUUUCAGCCAAUUGGCUGUUCAACUGGAAGAUUGAGAUUGGAUGAAUGAAUGAACUAGAAAAUGGAAAACAUUGAUUGCUUUACAUUUCCAUCCAUUCCACGUUCAUCAUAGAGUGCUCUCAUAUUGUGGCAGGACAAUCAUUAACCUGUCUUAACUACCCCAGAAGAACUUCUCAGUGACUGCUUUCAUCAAAGAGUAUUAAUGAGAGAUGCAUGGGUGAGUUCAGCGUACUCAGGAACAAAAAGCCUUCUGCCACAACCAGUUGGGGGGCCUUUUCACAACGAAACAGUGAAUACCCAAGAUCUCCACUCAGAUGCAGAAUAUCACCAAGAGGUGAUGUGUGUCUGGCCUGAAAUCAACAACUUUUUUUUUUUUUUAGGUAGACUUCUGUCCUAUGACCUCAUAAGGGAGACAGAACAACAGGUUGAACAUAACAAACAGAAAAGGAAAGGGGGGAAGGAAGUGGGUAUCCUAAAAUUGUCCUGAAAGGGGAGGGGAAAUUGAAAGCACCUGUCUGAGCCUUUGAUGUGAAGACCAGGUUCACUACACCUUUUGACAUUGGCCAGUCUCUCUCCCACUUCUAGGAGACUCCAUGCCUGGCCAUGGGAGGUGGAAGUCAGGACACUUGACAACUUCUCCUGAGAUGCUUCGGAUUGGGGCUCUGAAGCCUCUGUUAGCCUUUGUGCCUUUUACCCAUGUAGCACUCAAAGCAGACUUGCCUGCCUGCUUGAUUCGGCAGAGAACAUGGGGAAAGAGAAAGGAAUAGAGGAGGCCUGAGGUGAGCACAUGCAUGUGGAGUGGUGCCUGCCUUGGCUCUGGACUCCCAUUCUAGAACCUCAGUAAAAGGACUAGGGGCAUAUCUCCCCCUUUGCUGUAUUUGGAGACACCCUGUUUUCUUAUAAUUACCUACCACCUCCAUGCUCCCAUUUUGAGUUGUUUCUUAUUCUGACUAAGUGAGCCUCAAUAAGGCAAGGUGAAGAGGAGAACCCCAGUCUAUUACUUAGUUGAUGCUCUUCCUGUAUUCAGUUUCAUCUGUCUUCAACUCCAAUUCCAGAGCUCAGUAUAUUGAGGUGCUACUCUCCCCAGGCUGCCUGGUUAUUGAAUGAACUGUCUUGCUCAGAAGUAGCAUCUGUUGGUCAUGGAGAAAGGAGAAUAUUAUGGUGAAUUAGUAAAAAUUCAAGUCUUAGGAAAGAUAUGUGGGUCCAUGCAGGUUGAUACAGGUGCAAAUGGGAAAGACUGACUGUGCAGGACCUAGGUUGACCAAGUAGAGUUAAGCUUUGGUUAAAUGCUACACUGUCUGUGACCCAAAUAAUGAAUUUCUAACCUUAUGAUAUGGAAUCAGUGAGGAAAUUCCCAUCAAAUGAAGCCAAGUGCAAGCAGUUUGUGGUCCCACCAGCUCUACCUCAGAGAGGAUUGCCAAAGAGAGGAUGGGGACUGUGUUACAGCAAAGGUUUAAAAGGAAAGAUUGAAUGAUGUAAGAAAUGGUUAGAGCCUUUUUGCCAGUGAGCCAGACAAGAAAUGCACAGAUAGAGGGCACUUAGAUUUUUGUAAGGGGGUUAAGACAUCUAGAUUUGCUUAAAAAUUGUUUUAUUUGCAAUAGAUGUGUAGCUCCAGGAACUCUACUCCAUGAAAGCCUUUGCAGCAGGGAAUAUAAAGAAAUGCAGGACCAAAUCUAGCCACCAGAGGCACUGACCUCCAAGGCAGUUCUACCAGAAUUCUCGGGAGGUUCCCUCUCUAUAUGUUCUUCCAGGCCUCCUGAAGCUUGUCCUCCACAUUUUUUGGUACUAGCCCCUUGAUUCUGUAAGUAUGUCUGAGGAGCCCUGUUGGUUAAUUGGCAUUCCAACCUCCUUCCCUUUCUUUCCUGGAUCUCCUCUUUCAAAUGUGCCAGGAUGCACAUCUAGGAACAUGGAAGAAUGUAAGAAUACUCCUAUUUGCAGAAUAACAGCUAUUUUUAAACCUUGUGAAAAACAGAAAACUACUUCAGGAGUCCCAGAGUUAAAGAAAUUCAGAGUCGUUUCGGAGAAGAUUUGGAGUCUUGUCCUUCUCUCCUUCUCUUGCGUUCCUUUUUUAGUCCCAAUAUUUCCUUCAUUUGAAGAUUAAAAAGUAAAGACUGUCAUGAGCCCACUAUGUCAGAAACAUGGACAGACACAUUUGUGUCCUUCCACAGUGUCAGAAUUAAUUGAAUAACAGUAAUUUCACAAUCUAUAUCAGAGUGUCAGUUUUUCUGGCUGCAAUUUGUCAACUAUUUCCAAUUUACCUUGACAACUGGCCAUUCUAAUCUUAAUUACUAGUAUUAACUCUUAGAUUCAUAUUGCAUUUUAUGCAGUAAUACCUCUACCUGCCUGCUUGUCCAUCUCUGUUACAGAAUGCCUACAGAAGGGUUAAAGAGGUCACAGCAGACUUCCCAGCAGAGACUGAGAGCUGAUGCAGAUGCAGACAGAAUCACUGCAGGUGGCUAGAUAAGAUAUUAACAACCCAGCUGGAAAGCUGCUGGAGGCAGGAGAGCUGAGCUACAGGACAGCGGGACUGAACUGCAGAGACACAGAAUCCUGAAGGUGUGGGGAGGAGGUGCAGAACCAGUCCAGACUGAUGGACUGACACGGGUGGGUGCACAGAAGGAUGGAUGGCAGUGAGAGUGGACUAUAUCAGGUAGUGAGGAUUACACUGAGCUGAAGUUCCAGGGUCAGUUGGCAGUUCUCUGUUUCUCUGUCCCUUGACACAUGCACUCAAUAGUCACAAACAGGCCAGUGGGGCCACCACCAUUGCAAUGUUUUGCAUCCUUCCUUUUAUGGGGACCAGAUAAAAGUGUAUCUUUUA